GAUGAACGCUGGCGGCGUGCCUAAUACAUGCAAGUCGAGCGAACAGAUGAGGAGCUUGCUCCUCUGACGUUAGCGGCGGGCGGGUGAGUAACACGUGGAUAACCUACCUAUAAGACUGGGAUAACUUCGGGAAACCGGAGCUAAUACCGGAUAAUAUAUUGAACCGCAUGGUUCAAUAGUGAAAGACGGUUUUGCUGUCACUUAUAGAUGGAUCCGCGCCGCAUUAGCUAGUUGGUAAGGUAACGGCUUACCAAGGCAACGAUGCGUAGCCGACCUGAGAGGGUGAUCGGCCACACUGGAACUGAGACACGGUCCAGACUCCUACGGGGGGCAGCAGUAGGGAAUCUUCCGCAAUGGGCGAAAGCCUGACGGAGCAACGCCGCGUGAGUGAUGAAGGUCUUCGGAUCGUAAAACUCUGUUAUUAGGGAAGAACAAAUGUGUAAGUAACUAUGCACGUCUUGACGGUACCUAAUCAGAAGGCCACGGCUAACUACGUG
rnacentral:rRNA from 1 species